GACGAACGCUGGCGGCGUGCCUAAUACAUGCAAGUCGAGCGAAUCGAUGGGAGCUUGCUCCCUGAGAUUAGCGGCGGACGGGUGAGUAACACGUGGGUAACCUGCCUGUAAGACUGGGAUAACUUCGGGAAACCGGAGCUAAUACCGGAUACUUUCUUUUCUCGCAUGAGGGAAGAUGGAAAGAUGGUUCUGCUAUCACAUACAGAUGGACCCGCGGCGCAUUAGCUAGUUGGUGAGGUAACGGCUCACCAAGGCAACGAUGCGUAGCCGACCUGAGAGGGUGAUGAGCCACACUGGGACUGAGACACGGCCCAGACUCCUACGGGAGGCAGCGGUAGGGAAUCUUCCGCAAUGGACGAAAGUCUGACGGAGCAACGCCGCGUGAGCGAAGAAGGCCUUCGGGUCGUAAAGCUCUGUUGUUAGGGAAGAACAAGUACGAGAGUAACUGCUCGUACCUUGACGGUACCUAACCAGAAAGCCACGGCUAACUACGUGCCAGCCGCCGCCGUAACAC
rnacentral:rRNA from 1 species